rnacentral:rRNA from 1 species
CUUGGCUCUCGGAGGCGAUGAAGGACGUGAUAAGCUGCGAUAAGCUUCGGGUAGGUGCAAAUGACCUUUGAUCCGAAGAUUUCCGAAUGGGACAACCCGGCAUUCUGAAGGAAUGUCAUCCAACUUGGUUGGAGGCUAACGCAGGGAACUGAAACAUCUUAGUACCUGCAGGAAAAGAAAAUAAAUAAUGAUUCCCCUAGUAGUGGCGAGCGAACGGGGAUUAGCCCAAACCACUCAUGUUACGGCAUGUGUGGGGUUGUAGGACCACGCUCUCGCAAGACAGUUAUUGAGAAGAAACGACUGGAAAGUCGUGCCAUAGACGGUGAUAGCCCGGUAUUCUAAGGUAACCGAAGCGUAGUGGUAUCCUGAGUAGCGCGGAGCACGAGGAAUUCUGCGUGAAUCAGCCGGGACCAUCCGGUAAGGCUAAAUACUCCCGAGAGACCGAUAGCGAACCAGUACUGUGAAGGAAAGGUGAAAAGCACUUCGAAUAGAAGAGUGAAAUAGUCCCUGAAACCAUGCGCCUACAAGCGGUCGGAGCAGCUU